UUCCGGUUGAUCCCGCCGGACCUGACUGCUAUCGGAUUGAUACUAAGCCAUGCGAGUCAUUGUAGCAAUACAAGGCAUACGGCUCAGUAACGCGUAGUCAACCUAACCUAUGGACGGGAAUAACCUCGGGAAACUGAGAAUAAUGCCCGAUAGAACACUAUACCUGGAAUGGUUUGUGUUCCAAAUGAUUUAUCGCCGUAGGAUGGGACUGCGGCCUAUCAGUUUGUUGGUGAGGUAAUGGCCCACCAAGACUAUUACAGGUACGGGCUCUGAGAGGAGUAGCCCGGAGAUGGGUACUGAGACACGGACCCAGGCCCUAUGGGGCGCAGCAGGCGAGAAAACUUUGCAAUGUGCGAAAGCACGACAAGGUUAAUCCGAGUGAUUUGUGCUAAACGAAUCUUUUGUUAGUCCUAGAACCACUAACGAAUAAGGGGUGGGCAAGUUCUGGUGUCAGCCGCCGCGGUAAAACCAGCACCUCAAGUGGUCAGGAUGAUUAUUGGGCCUAAAGCAUCCGUAGCCGGCUCUGUAAGUUUUCGGUUAAAUCUGUACGCUUAACGUACAGGCUGCCGGGAAUACUGCAGAGCUAGGGAGUGGGAGAGGUAGACGGUACUCGGUAGGAAGGGGUAAAAUCCUUUGAUCUAUUGAUGACCACCUGUGGCGAAGGCGGUCUACCAGAACACGUCCG
rnacentral:rRNA from 1 species